GACGAACGCUGGCGGCGUGCCUAAUACAUGCAAGUCGAACGCUGAAGGGGGAGCUUGCUUCUCUGGAUGAGUUCCGCACGGGUGAGUAUCGCGUAGGUAACCUCCCUGGUAGCGGGGGAUAACUAUUGGAAACGCUAGCUAUUACCGCAUAAUAGUAGAUGUUGCACGACAUUUGCUUAAAAAGUGCAAUUGCAUCACUACCAGAUGGACCUGCGUUGUAUUAGCUAGUUGGUGGGGUAACGGCUCACCAAGGCGACGAUACAUAGCCGACCUGAGAGGGUGAUCGGCCACACUGGGACUGGGACACGGCCCAGACUCCUACGGGAGGCAGCAGUAGGGAAUCUUCGGCAAUGGACGGAAGUCUGACCGAGCAACGCCGCGUGAGUGAAGAAGGGUUUCGGAUCGUAAAGCUCUGUUGUUAGAGAAGAACGAGUGUGAGAGUGGAAAGUUCACACUGUGACGGUAUCUUACCAGAAAGAGACGGCUAACUACGUG
rnacentral:rRNA from 1 species